rnacentral:rRNA from 1 species
GAUGAACGCUGGCUACAGGCUUAACACAUGCAAGUCGAGGGGAAACGACGGGGAAGCUUGCUUCCCCGGGCGUCGACCGGCGCACGGGUGAGUAACGCGUAUCCAACCUGCCUCUGACUGAGGGAUAACCCGUCGAAAGUCGGCCUAAUACCUCAUGGUAUCGUCUGCGGGCAUCCAACGACGAUUAAAGAUUUCAUCGGUCAGGGAUGGGGAUGCGUCUGAUUAGCUUGUUGGCGGGGUAACGGCCCACCAAGGCUACGAUCAGUAGGGGUUCUGAGAGGAAGGUCCCCCACAUUGGAACUGAGACAAGGUCCAAACGCCUACGGGAGGCAGCAGUGAGGAAUAUUGGUCAAUGGGCGAGAGCCUGAACCAGCCAAGUAGCGUGCAGGAAGACGGCCCUAUGGGUUGUAAACUGCUUUUAGGCGGGGAUAAAGUGAGGGACGUGUCCCUCAUUGCAGGUACCGCAUGAAUAAGGACCGGCUAAUUCCGUG